CCUACGGGAGGCUGCAGUGGGGAAUAUUGCACAAUGGGCGCAAGCCUGAUGCAGCCAUGCCGCGUGUGUGAAGAAGGCCUUCGGGUUGUAAAGCACUUUCAGCGGGGAGGAAGGCGUUAAGGUUAAUAACCUUGUCGAUUGACGUUACCCGCAGAAGAAGCACCGGCUGACUCCGUGCCAGCAGCCGCGGUAAUACGGAGGGUGCAAGCGUUAAUCGGAAUUACUGGGCGUAAAGCGCACGCAGGCGGUCUGUCAAGUCGGAUGUGAAAUCCCCGGGCUCAACCUGGGAACUGCAUUCGAAACUGGCAGGCUAGAGUCUUGUAGAGGGGGGUAGAAUUCCAGGUGUAGCGGUGAAAUGCGUAGAGAUCGGGAGGAACACCAGUGGCGAAGGCGGCUCUCUGGCCUGUAACUGACGCUGAGGCGCGAAAGCGUGGGGAGCGAACAGGAUUAGAUACCCUUGUAGUC
rnacentral:rRNA from 1 species